rnacentral:lncRNA from 1 species
UCACCAACCACCAUCACCAGGUAAUCUCUCGAUAUUUUUCCUUUGGGUUUUGAUUUUGAUGACCCUCUGCUCGUGAAAUGCAAACAAAAGUAUAUAAAUAUUAAUUUUGCGUUCGUAGUGAGCGCAUAAGAAGGUGUGCCUUCUUUAGUUCCUUAUGCCGAUUAGAUUAAAUACAAUUUUGAUCGAUCCUGAAGAACUAGGGUUUCACUAUUGGUCACUGCUCUUUUGUUCGUUUCUCUGUGUUUUCGACCUUAUUUAUUUCUUCUUCCUUUGAUGGAGGACUCAUUAAAUGUAAGUUUUUUUUCUCUGGAACCUCUAUUGGGAAAGUUCAAUAUAGACUUACCUAACCUAAGUUUGAUCCAUAAUUUUUAUGCGGAAUUGAGAAAAAGAAAGUAAAAUUUAAGGUGCAUUCUGGUGAAUUUGGUCUUGUGAAAAAAUUGAGAUUUUAUUUGAUAAUUUGAAUUGCAAUACGGGUAUGUUUCUCAAGUUCUGUUGAAGACACACCUUUUUAUAUAAAAUCAAAUUGAUAUGCAUUUAAACUGCUUGUAGUGAGUAUAAUUUAAUUACUAAUAUUUUUUUAUAAUAAGUGCAGGUGAAUUCACAAUAUAGGGAUGUUUCUUAUGUCUUUACAUUGUGUUGUCUUGUCCCAUACUCUAAUAAAGUAAGUUUUCCUUUUCUGUUGAUAAUUGAGAUUAUAGAAAAUAUAGUAGCUGACUUUUUUGAAUUACAUCUCUAGUUCUUUAUUAUGUCUUUGUACUGAAAAUUUGUUUUUGUAUUGUUCUUGAUAUAAUAGUGUUAUACAUCUGAUAAAAGAUGUUCAAUCAUUUGCUGUAACAUGAAUUGAUUUAUGUAUGAGAGAACAUUGUCUAUCCAAUAUAAGUUAUGUAUGAGAGAACAUUGUCUAUCCAAUAUAAGUUAUUUAAAUAGUUCAUUAUAUAAUUCAUUAGAUGUGAAUUGUUUAUGGACUAAA